GUCUAGUACUCAGAGUUUGAUCCUGGCUCAGGAUGAACGCUGGCGGCGUGCCUAAUACAUGCAAGUCGAGCGAACAGAUGAGAAGCUUGCUUCUCUGAUGUUAGCGGCGGACGGGUGAGUAACACGUGGGUAACCUACCUAUAAGACUGGGAUAACUCCGGGAAACCGGGGCUAAUACCGGAUAAUAUUUUUGAACCGCAUGGUUCAAUAGUGAAAGACGGUUUCGGCUGUCACUUAUAGAUGGACCCGCGCCGUAUUAGCUAGUUGGUAAGGUAACGGCUUACCAAGGCGACGAUACGUAGCCGACCUGAGAGGGUGAUCGGCCACACUGGAACUGAGACACGGUCCAG
rnacentral:rRNA from 1 species